rnacentral:lncRNA from 10 species
AAAAGAUAUACUUCUAAGAGACUGUCAACAUAAUAAAUGAAAGGUAGCCUCCACCUUCACCCCAGAUGUCUACCUCCUGGUAUACACACCCUUGUGUAAUCCCUUUCCUUUGAUUGUGAACUGGAGUUACUGACUUGUUAAUGACUAGAAUAUGGCAAACAUUAUGGAAUAUCACAUACAACAGUAAGUGAAAAGAAGACUGUGGCUUCUAUUUGGGGAUUUCUCUUGCUUUUUCUUGGAUUAUUUUUGCUGUGGGGGGAAACCAGUUGCUAUGUCAUGAGGCAGACCUCUGCAGGGGACUGAGUGAGCUUAGAUGCAGGUCUUCUGAGACCUGCCAACUGCCAUAUGAUUUACCUUGGAGGUGCAUUCUCUUCCUGUCCAGUCUCAGAGGAACACAGCUUCAGAUAACAGUUUGAUUGCCAUUUCAUGAAAGACCCUGAGCCAGAGGCACCAAAGUAAGCUACAACCGGAAUUCUGAUCCACAGACACUGGGGGAUAAUAAAGGGCACUGAAUGAGCUGUAAAAGGUCAGAAGAAGCCAUCCUGAAGAAACAGCUAAAUAAGGGAUUCCGUGCUCCUAAUCUGUGCCUGGCACUGCAAGAUGCAUACUUUUUGGAGCUCACGGGACACAGAGAGCAAAGGACAAGAAGAAAACAAGGAGAGUUAAGAUCUUGCUCAUUGUGGAAUAACCUGGGAGUGGGGUGACCAGUGAGAAGUGGAUUCUAAUACAGAGGACAAGAGUGGAGAGUCCAGGUUUGUUGCUGCACGCCAUAGGGAAGACCAGAGUGAAUACUCUCUGUGGGAGGCAGAUCCGGGAAGAGGGAAUCCAGAAGGAGCUGAGCCACCAGAACAAUUUUCUUCUCUGAAGUUCACCAAUCAAACAAAUCACUUCUUCACCCUGGGAAGAAGUUAGUCAAGGUAUGGAAAACACAAAGGUUUUUAUUCUAGUAAAAUUCCUAAUACAAUAAUAUUC